rfam:Glossina pallidipes, whole genome shotgun sequence.
GCCCGGAUAGCUCAGUUGGAAGAGCAAAGGACUGAAAAUCCUUGUGUCGACGGUUCGAUUCCGUCUCCGGGCA